UGGCUAACUCCUACGGGAGGCAGCAGUGGGAAUAUUGGACAAUGGGCGCAAGCCUGAUCCAGCCAUGCCGCGUGAGUGAUGAAGGCCUUAGGGUUGUAAAGCUCUUUCGGCGGGGACGAUAAUGACGGUACCCGCAGAAGAAGCCCCGGCUAACUUCGUGCCAGCAGCCGCGGUAAUACGAAGGGGGCUAGCGUUGUUCGGAAUCACUGGGCGUAAAGGGCGCGUAGGCGGCUUUGUAAGUCGGGGGUGAAAGCCUGUGGCUCAACCACAGAAUUGCCUUCGAUACUGCAUGGCUUGAGACCGGAAGAGGUUAGUGGAACUGCGAGUGUAGAGGUGAAAUUCGUAGAUAUUCGCAAGAACACCAGUGGCGAAGGCGGCUGACUGGUCCGGUUCUGACGCUGAGGCGCGAAAGCGUGGGGAGCAAACAGGAUUAGAUACCCGUGUAGUCCAGCUGG
rnacentral:rRNA from 1 species